AGAGUUUGAUCAUGGCUCAGAUUGAACGCUGGCGGCAGGCCUAAUACAUGCAAGUCGAGCGCAGGAAACUGACGGAACUCUUCGGAGGGAAGGCAGCGGAAUGAGCGGCGGACGGGUGAGUAACACGUAAGGAACCUGCCUCAAGGAUUGGGAUAACUCCGAGAAAUCGGAGCUAAUACCGGAUAGUUCAACGGACCGCAUGGUCCGCUGAUGAAAGGCGCUCCGGCGUCACCUUGAGAUGGCCUUGCGGUGCAUUAGCUAGUUGGUGGGGUAACGGCCCACCAAGGCGACGAUGCAUAGCCGACCUGAGAGGGUGAUCGGCCACACUGGGACUGAGACACGGCCCAGACUCCUACGGGAGGCAGC
rnacentral:rRNA from 1 species